rnacentral:rRNA from 1 species
AUUGAACGCUGGCGGCAGGCUUAACACAUGCAAGUCGAGCGGGGAGAUGUAGCUUGCUACAUUACCUAGCGGCGGACGGGUGAGUAAUGCUUAGGAAUCUGCCUAUUAGUGGGGGACAACAUUCCGAAAGGAAUGCUAAUACCGCAUACGCCCUACGGGGGAACGCAGGCGAUCAUCGGACCUUGAGCUAAUAGAUGAGCCUAAGUCAGAUUAGCUAGUUGGUGGGGUAAAGGCCUACCAAGGCGACGAUCUGUAGCGGGUCUGAGAGGAUGGUCCGCCGCACUGGGACUGAGACACGGCCCAGACUCCUACGGGAGGCAGCAGGGGGGAAUAUUGGACAAUGGGCGAAAGCCUGAUCCAGCCAUGCCGCGUGUGUGAAGAAGGCCUUUUGGUUGUAAAGCACUUUAAGCGAGGAGGAGGCUACUUGGAUUAAUACUCUAGGAUAGUGGACGUUACUCGCAGAAUAAGCACCGGCUAACUCUGUGCCAGCCGCCGCCGUAA